AUUGAACGCUGGCGGCAUGCUUUACACAUGCAAGUCGAACGGCAGCGCGGGCUUCGGCCUGGCGGCGAGUGGCGAACGGGUGAGUAAUACAUCGGAACGUGCCCAGUAGUGGGGGAUAGCUCGGCGAAAGCCGGAUUAAUACCGCAUACGACCUGAGGGUGAAAGCGGGGGAUCUUCGGACCUCGCGCUAUUGGAGCGGCCGAUGGCAGAGUAGCUAGUUGGUGGGGUAAAGGCCUACCAAGGCGACGAUCUGUAGCUGGUCCGAGAGGACGACCAGCCACACGGGGACUGAGACACGGCCAAGACGCCUACGGGAGGCAGCAGUGGGGAAUGUGGGACAAUGGGCGAAAGCCUGAUCCAGCAAGGCCGCGUGUGUGAUGAAGGCCUUCGGGUUGUAAAGCACUUUUGGCGGGAACGAAAAGGACUGGGCCAAUACCACGGUUCGAUGACGGUACCCGCAGAAUAAGCACCGGCUAACUACGUG
rnacentral:rRNA from 1 species